UAUUUACAUAGUAGAAAGGGCAUUUGUACAAAAAUUUAGACCAACAAAAGAUGUUGUAGCGAGUUUAAUUAACGAACUACGUCCAUAGAGGCUAGAAGUAUUUUUUUAGUGUGCUAAAACAUUCGUCAAUGAUUAGUCCAAGCUCAAAAAUAGACCUCCAGAAUUCAAAGUGAGGUAAUAUAUUGUGACAUAGUUUUCAACACAACAUUGUUUUUGUUUAACGUUUAAAUAUAUAUUACAUAACGCAAUUCAAACGUUGUGUAUAAUUAGUACGUUUGACGUUGACACAGUCGCACCGCGACCCUCGCCGCCUUUGACGGUCUACUACGUGGUAGUUUCCCAGUGUGAGGUUGGCCGCCGUACAAAGUCCAGCAAAGGCCGCACAAUCGGACGCCGCAAACGCACGUUGAAGUCAUCUCAAAGUCCGUUCACGUACGUCACCAUCGAGAACACCGCCGUCUGAUUUGUGAACGUUACUCGCGCGAUUCUUUAAACAGUUUUACACAAUCGUUGGUUUCGUCCAGUUUUCCGGUAUGACAAGCGCCUCUAAUGGGACAACACCAUUUAUGUCGCUUACAUUAUUUAAAUGAACCGAACCAAUGAAAAAGAGGUAAAAGCGGUCGUGUCGCACAGACGGCAUAACGCGUUUGAACACAUCAAAAAGCGAUAAGCGACUCACCCCAGACAACACAAAAACACAAAAAAGUACUGUAUUAUUUCAGCGCGGUAAUGAGCCGAAAGAAAUGCAUUCGAAUAAAAAGUUAUCAGAUGUAAAAAACGUCACGUCGCUGUUGAAAUUAUUUAGCGAUCGUAUGAGUGGUAGACAAAGGUCAUUUUAAAAAUAUGGCCCUUUUGAAUGGUACACAGACAACUUACACAAAUCGAAAGACAAUGACGGUAAUUUGACCAGUUUAAUCGUGGAAAACUUCAAGGAUAACUGCUAAAAAUAUUUCUAGUCCGGUCAAUUCUUGACAUACACUUUGCUUGAAAUGAUAUUACACAACAUAAGUGCUCAACUUGAUUAGGCGUUUAGUUAAGUUUAAUACAUUUACCACAUAAAUUAUGAGUUCAUAAUUUAAAUUAUGUUUUGGGGGACUAUUGACAGUGUGGAUCGAUAAACAUGGUCUCGGGAGACGUAUUAUCUUGGCUUUUGUUUUAAUAUAAUUGUCAUAACGCUCAUUGUAGAGUUUAUAUGUGUUGUAAGUUCUACCACAAUGUAUUGCUAACUCAAAGGGUAGUGUUAUACUUGACAACUGUGAAGUCUAAAAACGAUAAAUCAGUAAACUUCCUUCGAGUGAAGCUAAUCAGUUUGCCAAGCGUAUUAAUCUUUUUUCGGACUUGCAUAGUAAAUAGAAACUUUUGUGUAAAUGUUCAUACGUGUAGCAUUACGAGAGUGGUCGUGACAACAACCGAAUUGACAAGAAAAAGUUACCGUUUUUUUUUUUGAAGACAUGAAAUAAAAUAAACUAUCAAGACAUUACAAGUUAAACAAAUUAUUCAAAGUCUAAUGUUUUUUUUUACUAUAAACUGUUUAGUA